rnacentral:rRNA from 1 species
UACGGAGGGUGCAAGCGUUGUUCGGAUUUACUGGGCGUAAAGCGCGCGCAGGCGGGUUGGCAAGUCGGAAGUGAAAUCCCAGGGCUCAACCCUGGGGCUGCUCCCGAAACUGUUCGCCUAGGGACUGGUAGAGGCUGGUAGAAUUCCCGGUGUAGCGGUGGAAUGCGUAGAGAUCGGGAAGAAUACCUGUGGCGAAGGCGGCCAGCUGGGCCAGGUCCGACGCUGAGGCGCGAAAGCGUGGGGAGCAAACAGG